CUCCUUUGACGUUAGCGGCGGACGGGUGAGUAACACGUGGGUAACCUACCUAUAAGACUGGGAUAACUUCGGGAAACCGGAGCUAAUACCGGAUAAUAUUUCGAACCGCAUGGUUCGAUAGUGAAAGGUGGUUUUGCUAUCACUUAUAGAUGGACCCGCGCCGUAUUAGCUAGUUGGUAAGGUAACGGCUUACCAAGGCGACGAUACGUAGCCGACCUGAGAGGGUGAUCGGCCACACUGGAACUGAGACACGGUCCAGACUCCUACGGGAGGCAGCAGCC
rnacentral:rRNA from 1 species